rnacentral:lncRNA from 1 species
CAAGUAGCUGGGAUUACAGAGACCAGGUUUCGCCAUGUUGGCCAGGCUGGUAUCCAACUCUUGACCUCAAGUGAUCUGCCCACCUCAGCCUCCCAAAGUGCUGGAAUUACAGGCGUGAGCCACAGCGUGCGGCACCAGCAUUCUUAUAAGAAAAGAGAAAUGGACGCAGAGGUACACAGAGAGAACACCAUGUGAAGACAGAGGCAGAGAUUGGAGUCGUUCUCAUCUACAAAGCUGAAGAAUUCCAAGGAUUGCCACUAAUCACCAGAACCCAAGAGGGGAGCAAGGAACAGAUUCUCCCUCAGAGCCUCAAAAAAGAAACCAACCCAGUGAACACCUUGAUUUCUGACUUCUGAACUCCAGAAUCACAAGAGAACACAUUUCUCUUGUUUUAAGUCACCCGAUUUGCGAAUUUGCUAUACUUCCUUUUGGCAACCAUGGGAAACAAACACAGUCGCUAAGAAGGUGUCUCGCUCUCAGAUUUUAUCAGCUAUCCUCACUGCUCUGGACCUAGGCUCUAGGAGACAGUUUGGAAAGGAGAGACGGCGGCUGGGUGAGAGGACAGAGGGCUUGGGAGCCUGGGGGUGGCAUCACAGGAUUUCUCCGCGUCACCUUGGUCGGUGACAUGGUUUCCUGAGCAUGUGCGUCAGCCCUUGGAGAUGUCCAGCGUAAGUCAAAGCCUUUGUUCCCUACGAUAACCUUGAGAGAUGACUCAGUAGAGAAGAAGGCAGGCUGUGGGGUGGGGGAAAUGGUCAGUGCAGCUACAAAUGAGAGCCUGUUCCUGGCUCAAGGGGAGGACAAGGCAGAAAAACAACAACAGUAAUUACCAUUCCCUGUUGUUUCCCUGGACCGACCUCCCCUCGUCCUCCACCCGGAUGAUCCUGAGGCCUAACUCUCCUCUCUGUCCUCACCCUGCACCCAUUCUUCCCCACCAUCUGUUUUAUUAUUUUUUUAAUUCCACUUUAUGGAGAAAUAUAACUUACAUAAAAUAAAACACACCAAUUUUGAGUGUAGAGUUCAAUAAAUUUUGAUAAAAUGCUUAUCAAAUCCUACCCG